UCCAAUGGGUGAAGAAUUCAGCAAAAUGGCCGUGGUUAGUGUCACGAGAUGUUUUUCAUUUAUUUCCUACAUUUAAGGUACCCUAGAACAGUACAUCUCGCGACAAUGCAGAGAAACAAAACUCCAAACAAAAUUACAACAGACAUUUCUGACAAAAGUUUUAAAAAAUGCUAUAUACAAGACGAAAAUGCUGUGUUCCCUUUUUCACUUUCGUGUCCAGUUUCAAUUCAAAUCUUAACAACAGAACACGAGGUCUUUAAACUCUGAUUUACAAAAAAAAAAAAAAAAAAUUGACAAACAUUGGGUACUGUUGUCGAGUCAGUAUUCCUCGCAAACGACUUUUUUGGUGGGG